UACGUAGGGGGCAAGCGUUAUCCAGAUUUACUGGGCGUAAAGCGCGUGUAGGCGGCUGGUUAGGUGUGAUGUGAAAUCUUGCGGCUCAACCGCAAGCGGUCGUGGGAAACUGGGUGGCUAGAGUGCGGGAGAGGAGAGUGGAAUUCCUGGUGUAGCGGUGGAAUGCGCAGAUAUCAGGAAGAACACCCGUGGCGAAGGCGGCUCUCUGGAACGCAACUGACGCUGAGACGCGAAAGCGUGGGGAGCAAACAGG
rnacentral:rRNA from 1 species